AUGCCUCUCUCCAGUCUGCUCUGGGUGUUCCUGGCCUUCACCUUCUCUGAAUCUGGUGUGGCCCAGAAAGCUACUCAAUAUCAGCCAGACAUAAUCAGUCAAGUGCAGAACGUGGUCACCCUGAACUGUCAGUAUGAAAAAAGUUGGAACGUGUACACCUACUGGAUAUUUUGGUACAAGCAGCUUCCCAGUGGAGAGAUGACUUAUCUCAUUCGUCAGUAUUCAGAAGAUGGGAAUGAAAGGGACGGCCACUACUCUGUAAACUUCCAGAAAGCGUGUCAAUUCAUCAGCCUCACCAUUUCAUCCUUAAAGCUGGAACAUUCUGGAAAAUACUUUUGUGCUCUCUGGGAACUACAGUGCUUGAAAUAA